rnacentral:rRNA from 1 species
GAUGAACGCUGGCGGCGUGCCUAAUACAUGCGAGUCGAGCGAACAGACUAGGAGCUUGCUCCUUUGACGUUAGCGGCGGACGGGUGAGUAACACGUAGGUAACCUACCUAUAAGACUGGGAUAACUUCGGGAAACCGGAGCUAAUACCGGAUAAUAUUUCGAACCGCAUGGUUCGAUAGUGAAAGAUGGCUUUGCUAUCACUUAUAGAUGGACCUGCGCCGUAUUAGCUAGUUGGUAAGGUAACGGCUUACCAAGGCAACGAUACGUAGCCGACCUGAGAGGGUGAUCGGCCACACUGGAACUGAGACACGGUCCAGACUCCUACGGGAGGCAGCAGUAGGGAAUCUUCCGCAAUGGGCGAAAGCCUGACGGAGCAACGCCGCGUGAGUGAUGAAGGUCUUCGGAUCGUAAAACUCUGUUAUUAGGGAAGAACAAACGUGUAAGUAACUGUGCACGUCUUGACGGUACCUAAUCAGAAAGCCACGGCUAACUACGUG